CCAACAUCCAGUCUGGUGCCACUGCCGAAAGUUUUUCACAGUGAUACAAACUAAUAGAGCAGAUGUACAAAAACCUCCUGAACGCUUCAGUAGCUGCACUGUUCACUGAAUCUCCAAAGCAACAUCUUACAUUUGAUUUGCUAUUGUGCUCAAUUACAGUUCAAAUAAAUAAAUAAAUAAAAUACACAUUUCAUUUAAAAAAAUAAUGAACAAUGUUAAGAUUAAUAUAACUUCAGUUGAUUCACUGAUGGUCAACUACUGAAUGUUCAUUAGAAAUCACCAGCAUAGGAAACUAUUGAGAAAUACUGAUACGAAAUCUUUAUAAGUGGAGAAAUUACAUUUAAUUUAAUAAUCUCUGUAAACAGAAUUUAAGUUUUUUUUUUUUUUUUUUAAUCAGUGUGACAGAUUUUCUCCUGAAAGGAAGCAGCUUUGAAUAUGUGCACCACCCCUCUGUUUAAGACGGACUGUCUGCCGGUCAGGACUAUAAACAGCAGAUCUCGUCUGUUCUCACUCAUUCUUAGCAAAGAUGACUGCCAACGGUCUGAUUAUCUGCUCUCUACUGCUUUCUCUUGCUGGUUGUUUUGCUGAGAUCAUUCUGACUCAGAGUCCAUCCGUGAAUCAAGUGUCAGUGGGAAGCAGCGUCACUCUCAACUGCAGGUCCAGCAGUUCUAGUUUUACAUCCAGUUUAGCCUGGUAUCACCAGAAACCUGGACAAACACCCAAACUCCUGUUCUCUAGUGUUGGUAGCAAAGUGUCUGGAGUUUCUGAGAGAUUCACUGAUGGGAGAUCAGGAACAAACUUCAUGCUCAAUAUUAGAAAUGUCCAGCCUGAAGAUGCAGGAGAUUAUUAUUGUCAGCAGCAUUAUGAGACUCCAUUAACACAGUGAUACAGAGCCGUACAAAAACCCCCUUCAGUAAAAGAGGAACUGCUGAUUUACACACAUAUUACUAUGAUUGGAGCCAGUUUUUAAAACUCCGAACACAAAAGAAAUCUGGGCCCUGAUUCAAGCAAUAUUCUUAAGAAUAAAAUUCAUCUUAACUGCAAUUUUCUUUUUAUAAUUUUUUUAAUUAAGAAAAAAUGUUUUGAAUAUUUAGUAUUUCCAAAAAAAUACUUAAUGUUCUUAUCUUUUUUUUUUUUUGACUCUUGAGACAUCUGCAUCUUUUGAUAAGCUACAUUAAAAAUAACCAUUUGUAACUUGACAAGUCACAUUAAAAAUGCAACACUCAUUAUUAAACUCUGAUCCACUUCCUGCAAAAAUAGUUAUUAUGAUAAUUAGAGCAAUCUUCAGGCAGCUCAAAAACAUGGGCUGAGGUGUUUUUCAGCAAGAUCUGCCAUACAGUCAGAAAAUCAGGACAGUCCAUCCAUGAGCCAGCCUGAUCUGCUGAGAUCCGACUGCACCGCUGACUCUCUCCAGCUCUUCAGCUUUGCUUUGGGACCCUUCACCACCAGCACAGCUCUGUGAAGCAGAUUAUCUGGCUAUCCUGUUGAAAAAACAGCAUAUGCUAGUUAGGAUAUACCUCUAGCCUCCAGGUCCAUUUCUCCACCUCGGCCUGUCAGCCCUCCCUCAGCUCCAUCAUGGUCUGCCAUCACUCAAACUCCCUCAGUCCUCCGUCUACGCCUUGGUCUCUCAUCAUCCUGGUUUCGCCAUGGACUCCCAGACCACCAGCUGCACCUCAACCCUUCACUCCUUCGGCUCCACCAGGUUUCUUCUUCCUUCCAGCUCUGUCUUGUUCCUCCCUCCCUGUUGUCGCCCUGUUCUGCCAGGCCUCCAUCUCCGCCUCGAUCACUCAAAUCUGUGGCGUCACCUUGGACUGCCUGGCCUUUGAUGUCACCCUAGGUUGUCAUCCUGCCGGUUUCAGUGGGGUCUCCACUUCGUCUAGCUCCACUUCAGUCGGUCAACCCUCAGGAUUUUUCCAGGAAUCCUGUCAGGGCUCAAUCUUGGCUCCGCUCUCCUUCCCCUCCACCUUGGUGUUCCCCUCAGCAAGUUCCUCCAGUUCUCUGCCCCCUACACCAGCUCCACAUCCACCUCUAAGACCCCCUCCCUCCCUCCACUCUGGGACUGUAGUUUACGGCACGAGGAUGUGCCUAGUGGUAGGGGGAGUAAUGUUAGGAUCACGUUAUGUAUCAGUGUUUUCUUUCAUGUGUAUACAGUAUGUUUCUUGUGUUCCUUUCAGUUUAGUUCCCAUCUCCUUAGUUACUAAUUCCUCCUUGUUUGUUACCUUGGUUACUGAUUAGUCCAAGCUUAUGUGAGUAUGCUGUUCCUGAAGAAUCUCCUGUGUGUUUUGGUUUUGAUAUUGUCAUUCUGAAUCAUUCAUGUUUGAAUUUCUGCACAACACAUGUGACAGCUUUCCAUUCCACAAAAGGUUCUUUAUGGUGGGAAAAAAGAUUCUUUAGAUUUUCAAAAUGUUCUUCACACUAAGAAAAAAAACAUGGUUCUUUUCAGAACUGUUCACUUAAAGGUUCUUUGGGGAACCAAAAAUUGGUGUGAAUAAUUUUAAUAUAUAUAUAUAUUUUUUAAAUAUUUUUAUUUUAUUUUAGAUUUCAAUUCCUGAUAAGUUUUAAUUUUUGUUAACAAUAGCAACACAUACAAAUGCUGUUUCAAGAUGACUUUCUUGUUUCAUAAUUUACUGUGCAGGUGUUGUCAUGCUUCACUGAGUGAAAUUUAUUUGUGUAUUUUAGAUGAAAUACUUUAUAGGGAAGUCAACAUUUCUUGCAAUGUGACUCCAUUUAUUUAUUUUUAUUUUUUCUUUGAUGCAGACCACCCCAUAAGAUUUGAGAGGCUACAU